rnacentral:rRNA from 1 species
GGCAGAUUAGCUAGUUGGCGGGGUAAUGGCCCACCAAGGCAGUGAUCUGUAUCCGGCCUGAGAGGGCGCACGGACACACUGGAACUGAAACACGGUCCAGACUCCUACGGGAGGCAGCAGUGGGGAAUUUUGCGCAAUGGGGGAAACCCUGACGCAGCAACGCUCGCGUGGAGGAUGAAGUCCUUUGGGACGUAAACUCCUUUCGACCGGGAAGAUUAUGACGGUACCGGAAGAAGAAGCCCCGGCUAACUUCGUGCCAGCAGCCGCGGUAAUACGAGGGGGGCAAGCGUUGUUCGGAAUUAUUGGGCGUAAAGGGUGCGUAGGCGGUUCGGUAAGUUUUAUGUGAAAUCUUCGGGCUCAACUCGAAGUCUGCAUGAGAAAACUGCCGGGCUUGAGUGUGGGAGAGGUGAGUGGAAUUUCCGGUGUAGCGGUGAAAUGCGUAGAUAUCGGAAGGAACACCUGUGGCGAAAGCGGCUCACUGGACCACAACUGACGCUGAGGCACGAAAGCUAGGGGAGCA